GGUGGCGGUAAAUGCUCCUGAAAGCUGUUUCCCAACCGCUAUAAAACUAUAGAAGGAGAAGCAGCAGCAGCAAACACAAUAAUAUCUGUGAGCUGAGAGAGAACCAGAGAGGAGCCAACAGGAGGCCUCAGGACAGGAUCUCUGCUAAAUGGAUCUGGACAUUAAAUGGUGGAAGAAGAAGUCUCUGAGCUGGGAACCUCCUCAGAUCCUCUGCUGUCUCAGAGACAUGAAGCCACAUGUGAAGCUGAACAGACUGCCGAACACAUAAUCGCCACCUGACGAAAGAUGUGAAGCUGAAACGAGGAGACGACCUCCAGAUGACCUCCAGAUGACCUCCAGAUCAGCUGCUCCUCUGAUCCUCCUCUCCUCAUGACCCUGGACUCAGUGACAGGAGCAGGAAGUCGUGAUGAUGCAUGAAGUACUGGGAGGACCAAAGGUCAAACUAAGCUGAUGUUUCAGCCGUAAAGACAUGGAGGACACUCGACUCCUGAAGCACUUGCUAACACUUCCUCUCUCUUGAUUGACAGACAGCAGACUGAGGCAGCACACCAUGUGAAGACAUGAAGACCCCCUGCUGUCCAGGAAGCUCCACCUUCAGUCCUCCUGUGUUCCUGGCACUUGAGAGUGAGUCAGAGGCAGAAUACAGGGACAGAGAGAGAGGUCCAUUGCUGAGAUCUGAUCAGCUUUGAGGAUUGAUCAGCUUUGAGGAUUGAUCAGCUGUGAGGAUUGAUCAGCUGUUCAGACGGACUUCAGGAAAGAGCCUGUCAGACUGAACAUGGGACACUUGAGGACAUGAAGGAAAGACCCUCCUCUGUCAGACUGAACAUGGGACGUUUGAGGACUUGAAGCUAAGAAGCCCCUUCAGGAUCUGCCUCUGGGAUCAGCCUCUCAUCAGGUGAAGCCCCGCCCCUUCAGGACCAGGAUCUGCUCUGGGAUCUGCCUCAUCAGGUGAAGCCCCUCCCCUUCAGGACCAGGAUCUGCUCUGGGAUCAGCCUCAUCAGGUGAAGCUCCUCCCCUUCAGGACCAGGAUCUGCUCUGGGGUCAACCUUUCAUCAGGUGAAGCCCCUCCCCUUCAGGACCAGGAUCUGCUCUGGGAUCAGCCUUUCAUCAGGUGAAGCCCCUCCCCUUCAGGACCAGGAUCUGCUCUGGGAUCAGCCUUUCAUCAGGUGAAGCCCCUCCCCUUCAGGACCAGGAUCUGCUCUGGGAUCAGCCUCACAUCAGGUGAAGCCCCUCCCCUUCAGGACCAGGAUCUGCUCUGGGAUCAGCCUCUCAUCAGGUGAAGCCCCUCCCCUUCAGGACCAGGAUCUGCUCUGGGAUCAGCCUUUCAUCAGGUGAAGCCCCUCCCCUUCAGGACCAGGAUCUGCUCUGGGAUCAGCCUCACAUCAGGUGAAGCCCCUCCCCUUCAGGACCAGGAUCUGCUCUGGGAUCAGCCUCAUCAGGUGCUGAGCUUCAGAGACAUCAAGGCUGUGUUUGUGGAAAUAAAGAGUGAACUGAA